rnacentral:tRNA from 1 species
GCCUGGGUGGCUCAGCGGUAGAGCGCCUGCCUUCGGCCCAGGCCGUGGUCCUGGGAUCGUGGGAUCGAGUCCCGCAUCGGGCU